rnacentral:rRNA from 1 species
GACGAACGCUGGCGGCGUGCCUAAUACAUGCAAGUAGAACGCUGAAGAGAGGAGCUUGCUCUUCUUGGAUGAGUUGCGAACGGGUGAGUAACGCGUAGGUAACCUGCCUUGUAGCGGGGGAUAACUAUUGGAAACGAUAGCUAAUACCGCAUAACAAUGGAUGACACAUGUCAUUUAUUUGAAAGGGGCAAUUGCUCCACUACAAGAUGGACCUGCGUUGUAUUAGCUAGUAGGUGAGGUAACGGCUCACCUAGGCGACGAUACAUAGCCGACCUGAGAGGGUGAUCGGCCACACUGGGACUGAGACACGGCCCAGACUCCUACGGGAGGCAGCAGUAGGGAAUCUUCGGCAAUGGGGGCAACCCUGACCGAGCAACGCCGCGUGAGUGAAGAAGGUUUUCGGAUCGUAAAGCUCUGUUGUAAGUCAAGAACGAGUGUGAGAGUGGAAAGUUCACACUGUGACGGUAGCUUACCAGAAAGGGACGGCUAACUACGUGCCAGCAGCCGCGGUAAUACGUAGGUCCCGAGCGUUGUCCGGAUUUAUUGGGCGUAAAGCGAGCGCAGGCGGUUUGAUAAGUCUGAAGUUAAAGGCUGUGGCUCAACCAUAGUUCGCUUUGGAAACUGUCAAACUUGAGUGCAGAAGGGGAGAGUGGAAUUCCAUGUGUAGCGGUGAGAUGCGUAGAUAUAUGGAGGAACACCGGUGGCGAAAGCGGCUCUCUGGUCUGUAACUGACGCUGAGGCUCGAAAGCGUGGGGAGCGAACAGGAUUAGAUACCCUGGUAGUCCACGCCGUAAACGAUGAGUGCUAGGUGUUGGAUCCUUUCCGGGAUUCAGUGCCGCAGCUAACGCAUUAAGCACUCCGCCUGGGGAGUACGACCGCAAGGUUGAAACUCAAAGGAAUUGACGGGGGCCCGCACAAGCGGUGGAGCAUGUGGUUUAAUUCGAAGCAACGCGAAGAACCUUACCAGGUCUUGACAUCCCGAUGCUAUUUCUAGAGAUAGAAAGUUACUUCGGUACAUCGGUGACAGGUGGUGCAUGGUUGUCGUCAGCUCGUGUCGUGAGAUGUUGGGUUAAGUCCCGCAACGAGCGCAACCCCUAUUGUUAGUUGCCAUCAUUCAGUUGGGCACUCUAGCGAGACUGCCGGUAAUAAACCGGAGGAAGGUGGGGAUGACGUCAAAUCAUCAUGCCCCUUAUGACCUGGGCUACACACGUGCUACAAUGGUUGGUACAACGAGUUGCGAGUCGGUGACGGCAAGCUAAUCUCUUAAAGCCAAUCUCAGUUCGGAUUGUAGGCUGCAACUCGCCUACAUGAAGUCGGAAUCGCUAGUAAUCGCGGAUCAGCACGCCGCGGUGAAUACGUUCCCGGGCCU